AUUUGCUCCAUGGGCUAAGAUCAAAACCCCACGUGUGUCUUUGGCUGCAUGCCAGGGUCUCAGAGCCCCCUGCCGGCGGCUCUGGCCAUCCAGGGCACCCAGAGGAGAGUCCUGGGUUCCCACAUCAGGGCAGUUUGGUACAGAAAAUGUCCUGUAAAAAGUGUAGAUUGUUCACUGGGACAAAGGUUUAAGAAGUAAUCGAGUUAUAGGGGAUUAAAAAGAGGUUAAGGGCUUUACUUCAAUAGUGUAGAAUUAGUUAAGGACUUGAUACUGUUUUUUAGCUGUGUAUUACUGUUCUGAAUGAUUUUUGGCUUGAGUUGUUAGGAACAGGUAUUUGUAAUGACUGGCUGCCAAGUAGAUUUGUAGGACAGGGAAGAAUCCUGAAAUCUUUAAACAGUAUGUAUUAGCUUUCUGAGAAGAGUUUGUGUUAAAAAAUAAAACAAAUAUGAAAUAAUUAUUCCACAUUGUCCUUUGAUUUACUAUUUCUCACCUAGUUCAUUGUCAUUGCUCAGUUUAUGUUGUUUUCUCUCUAUUUACUUUCUUCCACACAGCAAUUAAAUCAGCAUUCUUGGGAAAAAGCUUAAGAGCAAUUUAAAGGGUUUCUAAAGAAAAAUUGCUGGUUUAUAAUCACAUGAGUAUUGUUUCAUGAUUUCUUCUGAGAAUGGAACAGCACAAUUUGUGAGCAAAUAUUCAGCCAAAGGCAUUUAAGUACCCAGAGUUCUUACCCUAUGGAUGUCUAGUUACCCCCUAUAGGCAGCCCACUAUCUGUGUUUGUUUGGAGAAGUGGAAUUUAUGUGAUUCUUUUACUAGAUUAGAUUCCAAGUUAAUUUCUAGGAGUCUGUACUUUACUACACUAAAAAUAGCUUGCUUAUUUCCUUAAAUCACUUAGUAACCUGAUGAAAAUAAGACUGAGUGCCAAGUCUUAAUUUUCACAGCAACCAUUAAUGUUUGAACAGGUUAAGUGCAUCCUGAAAUAUCAGUGAUGAAAUGGUCAGGUAUUACGAUUUGUUAAUAUAGCAUUGUAAAGGUUAUAUAAUUUUCAAGUCCAGUACCAUUGACCAAUACUGGGAUAAGUUGGUAUCAGUCUUAGAGGGGAUCUGACGCUGGAUUUCUCAGUUGAACUGAAGUAACUGCAGUCAUCAGUUAGUUAAUCAGCACUGGGACUGAUUUCUGCAUACUGAAUUUGAAUGUCUCACAUCUUGAGUGCUCUGUGUUCUGUCCAGAGGUCUGUGGCUAAUGUAAGCCUGUGAACGAGCUUCCUGUGAAAUCACUUGUUGUGAUUCCAUUAAAUAAGAUUAUUAAUUUGUUUUGAGAUUGUUGCUAUCUGGCCAGUUUCUCUUUUUGCUGUUCAUUCCAAAAGUGGAGGGUUGUUUUUUAAUAGAUGAAAUGUUUGCUUUUGGCAUGGGUAAUGCUUUACUGGUGGGUUUGAUAUGACAGUAUUACUUGGACUUUUCUGAGAAAGUUAAGCUCUGCUAUUUUGGAAAGAUUAAUUGUAGCACCAUUUACUUUGACAGCCUAAUUCACAUUUCAUACACACAAAAAAAGGAAAUAUGAUAAACUGUCGAACUACUGUAGUGUCUAAAAUGAUUUUUUUUAAAGAAAACGGUAAAACCACUGGAUUUUUUGACCACUGAAACUUGCAGCCUUCUUUUAAAUUAAGUAUCUCAUUACUGAUGCAGUAUAAGUACCCAAAGCAUAGAAUUUGUGGAGGGAUCUGCUGUGCAGGAGCAAAUAAUGUUAGUGCCAGUAAAUAUCAGAUCAGGUGUGUAAAAACAUGUAGAUUAAUUUCUAGAUUGUUAUUUGCAGGUAUAACUAGCAUGAGAAAACUGUUAUUUUCAAUUUUUUAAAAUUUAUUCAGGAGGUAUAUACAUCAAAAAACCCAAAAUCUUUUCAGUAGUUAACAUAGUUUAUCAUAUUUGGACAUGUUUCAAAAUUUUAAGUUAAACAGAAAAGUUAGAAAUAAGAUUGUGUUAGAAUUUAAGAAGGUACUCAGUUUCUGCAGCUUCAGCUAUGUAUCCCAUCUUUUUAGUGUACUCUCCUGUGCCUAAAAAUUCUGUAUUUCCUUAUAUCUAGACACAAGCCACUCACCCCUUCCUGUGAUACAGUUCUUUUAAAGUUAAAAGUUUCUGUAACACACAAAUCAACAGUUUAUUUCGAACACUGGCUUACAGUACAUGAAUUGUAGGAACUUGCCUUGUUUGGAAACUUACUUGUUCUUCUGCAGAUGUGUUUUCUUUGUAGGUCUUUCACAAUAACUUGCUGAAGAAUAAGCAAUAACUAAUCAAGAGCAGCAGAAAUCAAGAGCAUGACCUCAUUUUUUUUAUAUCUUAGGGGAGCACUUAGUGUAUGAAAUGUAAUUUGAAUAUCAUGAACUGUGGGCCAGGUGUCUUUUAGCAGCCAACUCCUGUAGUUUAUGUGCUUGCAUUCAGCUAGAGCUGCUACUCUGAAAACACUAUUCUGAAAUAGAUUUGUGUGUUUUUUGAGUAUCUUGGGAAAGUUUUGUGUUGCUAAGAAAUUGUUUCAGGUUCUGUAGGGCUAUUGAUGAAUUCAACAGAAGAUGAAAGUGGCUUUAAAAUUGAACACGUGUAGAAAGCACUCAGUUUCUAGAUAAAAAGUAGCCUUGUCCAGUGGGAUUUCUGUAUUGUUUUCUUAUAAAAUGUGGACUUUUUGAUGUAAAAUUAAUUAUUUUCAGCAAAUCUGAUGAUUUUCGCUGGAAUGUUUGAAACUGUAAGCAGUCAGUUUGUCUUCAUUAAGACUUUUUUGUAGGAAGUGAAGUUAGAGAAAUGUGGUAUGGAAAGUUUGUUGGAUGCUCAUGGACUUGUAGUAUUAACUGUUACACAGCACUAUCUGUGAGAAAAAAAAAAAAUCACCAGAAGUACUGUUUAUAUGUGAAAGGUUCUCAUGGGUUGUAGUGAAUUCAAGGUAGAACUCUGACCUAAGAACAAAAAUGGUGUACUCUAUCAGGUUAUUGAAAAAAAACCCCUCUGAAUACCAGAUGGAAUGUAUUGCUCUGUGUGAGUGCUGUUAGGCACUUCCAGUUCUCACAGUUGUUUCACAAUGCUGUAGUUUAUUUGUGUGCAGUGUGUUUUUUGGUGGUUUCUGUCAGUAGCUUGCUGCCCCACAUCACUGAUUUGGAGCAAAAGUGUGAUACUGCAGCGUGGUUUGACAAUAGGCAUCGUAUUUCUUGAUGGAUUGUGUUGACAUGUAGAGAUGUUUAUGAUUCUUGGCUUGUAUUUUUAAAAUGCCCAAAUGAACCCAAAUGACUAAGCAACCAAUAAAGCAGCAACUUGAUGCAUGUAAUUAAGUUUUCUUGUUAUUAAGUUAGCAUUUGGAUUUGGUUGCUUGGUGAAUAAUUCUUUAGCAUACCUAGGCUAUUUAAAGGGACAAAAUAAAUAUGCUUAAUGUUUUCUUUCUGGUUUUAAGACGUAAUUUCAUAUGCUUUACAUCGUCACAUAUUUUACUGUUAGUUUUUAUUGGUCUGCUACAAUGUUUUUCAUAUCUUUGUGUCUUAUGUUUACUUUCAUGUUGCUUUAUUAGGUAACUAAUGGAACAAAAGAAGUUGAGUGCUUCUCUAGGGGAAACAGGAAAAUAAAAUGUUGAUAUAUAUACAACAAGCACUAGAAGGAUAUUCUCACUGAUGUAAAAAUUAUAGCAACACUAUGGUAAUUUCUUCAUAACUGGAUUUUUAAAGCCAAUGUUAGGUUUUUUAGAUUUAUUUAGGCGCAAAACAGCGGGGCAAAUAUGUGGCUGUUUGCAGAAGUAGCAGGUUUUUUAUUUUUUAGUGUGUGCAUAAAUAUACACAUGGUGGAUUUUUUUGGUAUAAAAUUCCUUUGACUGGUAACUGUAUGUCUGAGACACUGAUAUUCUCUUUUUUUUGGCUCGCAAGAAAAAAAAAAGAUGAGUCUGGAUGGUCAUUUUUGCAUCUUCUGUAAUUCUAAUUACAGAGCUAAACUUGAGGAAAGGCUGGUGUAGGUUCUUUUUAUUGUAUACAUUGCCACGUAUGAUGUGGCAUAAAUUAAGCUUAUAGGAAAAUUAAAAGCUUUUUUAUUUGUUCGGUUUUGUUGGGUUUUUUUCUUUCUCUUGCAGUCAAAAAUUAAAAGUUUGUGUUGUUUUGCUUUAAAAGGACUCUUGAAAAGAUACUGACUUCUUCAGUUUGUCAUGUGUAUAAGUAAAGCUCUUGUCUCAUGUAGAAAUAUUUCAUUUAAGUUGUGGAUACCAGGAAGAGUUAAAUCAGUUUGUGGUAAAUCAACAGCAUAUUAUCCUUGCUGUAUCAAUUAUAGUGAGGAAAGAGAGAACCUUGGGAGAACUUUUCUCUCCAAAUGUAAAUGGAAGAUCUUACUAAAACUCUAUUCUUUACUUACAAAAAGUAUUUGUCAUCAGGGCAUCUGUCACUCCUAGGGGUAUUAGUUUCUAGUAAGCACAUUGUCUAUCAGUGAUGGAAAUACAUCUUCGAGUUUCAUGUUGAAGAGUUACAGAAACAGGUAAUAUUUUUCUGAAGUAAGAGUAAUCUUUUAAAUUGAGUCCUGAUUACAAAAUUCCUAUCAACAACUGAUACGUGUAUAUGAUGAUUAAUGUAAAAUAAGUAGGUAUAGAGAGCAAAUGUUUCAGCUCUUCCUUCUGGUAUCUCCCUGUGGAGAGACUAAAAGUACAUCUAGGUGGCAAAAUGCUCUCAAGAGAUGCGUGUAACGAGUGAGGCUAUGGAGGUAAUAAUAAUAAUAAUAAUAUAGAAAUAUCAGAGCUCUAGUAAUGCAGAGCAGUAAAUAAGCAAGUUUAUCUUAUUUCUGAGCAAUGCCUAAAAAAGCAAUGUAUGCUCACUCUUUCAGUGAUUUUGGUAUUUGAAUUUGGUGUGCAGAGGUGAUUUGAAUGGAUCUGUGUGGUACUUUGAACAAAAUAUGUAGUUUUACAUAUUUUAUGUAAAUAUGCACCUUUUUUUGGUGUAAAAGUGCUAAAGUGCCUUUGUAUAAAGUAGCGUAAUAUAAACCUUAUUUUUACUCCCUCCAAGUGCAAACUGAAUGCAGAACAGUUAGCCAGCUUGCUUGUAGGCAGGAGUUAGUCCAUUGAGCUUAUUUUUGAACAACAGCCACCAAAGAAUUGUAUGUAUUGUGGUAGCAGGAUAUGCAUUAUUGUUGCUUUCCGAAACCAAAAAAGGUUCAGUGGCAAUGUUGUACAAGUGGAUUGUUGGUGUGCAAUUAUUUGGAGGCAACUGAAAAUCACUGCUAUUAUUAAAAAAGUUCCAAAUAUAUUUAGCUUAUUCAUUGUUAACCCUGAAACUUGAAAAAAUAUUUCAGUUGUUGGUGUCCCAAUUUUUUCCCUUGCUAACUAAAUUUUAAUUCAAAUGAAAAAGAAGUGUUUUAAAGAACGUAUUUGACACAUUUCAGACUUUUUUUCUUUCAGUAAUGCUUCCAAACUCUCCAAAGGCUUAUAAGUAUCAGACAAAAAUCCCAGGCAGAUCAGGGGCUCUUUUUACUAAUGCUAUUCAUAAAGCAGCUAUGCUGCUACAGAAAUUUUGAUACUUCAGCUGGGACUUAAUUCCGGACUCCUCAAAGGGUAGAAGUAUUUUUUGAUUUUCAGAGUACAUGUUUUCUUUGACUCUUUUUAUUCUAGCAACUGAAGGAGGUAUGAGAGGAGGAAAGAUUCCUUAAUUUGUGGGGGAAAUUUAAUUAGGCAUUUUUUGGCCAUGAUUAACCUCACUUCUGAGGUAAAGAAUGAAGAGCAAAGAGAAGGAUUAAAUUGAGAGGGGAAAAUAAGUGCACACCCUGAAAACAUUAAAAUAGAAGUGAUAGUUUUUCCUUGUCUGUUUCUGACAGUGAUUGGAGAGAGGAGAAAACUUCAAACUGAGUGAAAGCAUUGUUUGGGAUGUUCAUAUCCUCUGCUACUUAUGUGUAUAAUAUUUAAGUAAUUUGCCUGUUGAGCAUCAAAUUGGAGCAGCCUCUUCCUGUUGAUGUGUUUCUUCAAGGUUCUCAAAGAUAAAGCAGUGUAAGGGAAAUUGGCAUGUGUUCAAAUACUAUUAGAGGUGUAAUUUAAUUUGCCUAAGGCUAUUGCAUCUCCCCUUUUCCUGUAAAGAUAGAUGAGGAGCUCGACCCCAAAGUAUCAAAAUGAAAGAUCACAGUUAGGAAAAAAGCACAUGAUUAAGAUUGGAUAUUGUUAUCACUGUACCAUGACACUUUAUUAUUAUAAGAGUAUUUAAGACAAGCUUAACACUCCUCAUAUGUGUACAUAAUAGUCCUGAUAUAAUUUCUGUUAAAAUAGGAGGUAUUAGUUAAUAUUACAGUAGCCUUUCUACUUUGUUAACUGUGUACCUGUACAUUAGACUCUGUUUUCCAUUUUUCAUGGUGAACUAUCUGGAAAUGUAGGAAUUAGCAAGACAUUUUUAAGGCUUUUAAGCCUUUUAGCAUUGAUUAUUGUGACAGUUGGAGAGAGGGAAAUUUUACUAAAGUUUUUCUCCUGAAAGGUCAUCCCUUUUCCACGUAAUUUGAGCUGUAAUUAAUAGGAAGAGUUGUUUAAAAUGGAUACUAUACUUGUUUGAAAGGGCAAAUCUGCUCUGAGUAAAAAUUCUGCUUCCCAAAUACUUGAGUUUCUUUCUCAGGAGGUGUUUCUUCACUUUUUCUCCUUGUAGGCGCCUUUUAAAACUAUACCUAAAUUUCUUUCUCCCUCCAUCCAAAUCCCUAAGAAUACAGUCCAGGCAGGAGUAAAUUGCCAGCAUUAUCAUCAGAGGAAUGAAAAGACUUAAAGCUCUAGAUGAUGAUGUUAUUUUUGCUGACUGGCCAUUACCAUCUCCACCUUAAAUCAGAUCAUGUGAUGUGUGCAAGGUCUGUGCUCUGUUCCUGUACAUCUCUAACCCCAGUAUCUUGGUCUGAAAGUGUGCACGUAAGUACAGCUGCAAAUAGUAAAUACUUGACUUACUUUUGCUAUACCAAGAUAUGACUAUUUGAAUAAUAUUUCUGUCUUUCCUGCUCUUGAAUUUCUUUCCUGUUUGCUUCUCCAUUUCUUUCAUGCUGAUUUUUUUUUUGUCAUUUACACGAUCACACGUGGCAAUGAUCAGUUGGCAGAUAAUUGUUGUGUCAAAUUUUCCAGUGCUGAAUAAUUCUUGGUAGGAUUGCUCUAUAUAAUUUCCACUGUAGAUAACUAUUACUCUAUUACUCUACAAUAAUUUCUUGUCUUCAUAGCUAUGAAUUUGGUCUUCACGGAGGAAUUUUGCUUUAAUCUGAAGUCAAUUACCUGAAAGCUUCAUGCAUUUCUUUGUGCUAGGGUGAAAGAAAGAGUCCUGUGAUAAGGCAGGAGAAGAUUUUAAUUUUUCUUUCAGAAAAGUUAUGGUAGAAGAAAUAGAAGUGAAGGAAAAAAGCUAUCCUUUUCUAUAGCCCAUCAUGACUUCUAUCAUUAUUUGUAUCCUUGCCAUUGGGAUACAAAUCCUUAAAAGCUGAGAAAAAGGAAAGAACCAGUUAAAGAGAAGUUUUGAUAACAAGAAUGCUGCUUUUCAAGGAUAUCAGGAUAUUGUGCAGUUCCUCAUGGAUUGAUACAUAUAUCACCCUAAUAGUGGAAAAAUUUUGAGAAAUCUUCUUUGUAUAAUUUACAUAUCUUUAUGUGUUAAUUUUUCCAUUAAAAUUAUUACUGGGCAAGAAAUAAAAUUAGGAAAAAAUUAGAAAUAAAAUUAUGGCUUUUGUUGACCUAAGAAGACUAUUCAGUGCUGGGACACUUACCUUGGUUCCUUAAGCAAACAGGAAUUUUUUUCCUCUUAUUUUCGUUACCUGAUUUCUAUCUUUACAUUUCAGCUAUUUCUGUUUUUCAAGUCUUGUAAAUUAUGAAUAUUAUUUUCCCCAGCACCUGAGGCUAGACAUUAAUUUUUGUUUCCUUAGGAAUAGAAUGUAAAUUAGAUAUUACUAUGUUACAAGUGGAGAUAAUGAAUUGUUUUGCCUAGAAAAAUACCAACAUUGAAGAUUUUUCAACAUUUUUUUCAGAGAAAAAACCCCAGAUGUAAAGGAACUAUUUUUGCUAGCUUGCAGAAAGCCAGUUCUGAUGGAGGUUGAAUCAACUGUGAUAGUAAUUUAUUGUUUCUUUUUGUGUGGAGUUGCUUAAUAUUCCAGCCUAAAACUGCUACCUUGAGUUAAAAUACCACAGCACUGCAACUGGAAGGGAAAAAAAGGUGCCAAUAAAAAGCAUUUUCCCUCUCCCAUUCCUUCGUAAAUAGCCAUGUUUGGAAAAGUAGUGUUGUAUUUUUGGGUAAAUUUUGCAAAACAAGGAAAACUUGUACAUUGUGCAGGUAAAGCACUGCUGGUUUGUGUGUUGGAUGAUAAUCAGGGUUUCCCUGCUUGGCCAAAGAACUACUGAGUAGUGAAAUGGUUAUUAAGAAGGUGAAGCUGGGACUCAGCUUGCCUAACUGCAGUAAUGUAGAAGCUUAGCAUAAGCAUGUGCUCUGCAGACUUACUUUAUAUGGUAAGUGGAGACAGAUGUCUGCCUUAAACAGUUUUUUUAUUGUGAUUUUCUAUGUGACAUAUCAUCCUUUCAAAGGGUCACCUUUUUCUGUCAGGAAGGCUGGUUGUCCUAGAUGCUUUGUACAGAUGGAACAGCUGAUUUUGAAACCAUAAAAUUAGGUACAAAUAGUCUCCAAUUUCCAUUGUUUUGUACAAGUUGAUGGAAAGACAGUUCUUUGUUAUUCUGUAAAUUCAUCAUGUGAAGAAUAAAGUAUUGUACCUGCAUAUGUGUUCAUUAUUUUAUUUUUACAGUGCAGCAUUAUACUGCUAAAAGAAGCUGGAAACUUUUAACCCUGACAUAUACAGCUAUUAUGUAGUUACUAAAAAUUAAAUAAUUUUGUUUCAACAUUCUUCUACUUCCAGUCAUGUUUGAGGUUAUUUCUAAAGAAUAAAAUAGAGUUAUCACCUACAGGAACUUUCCUGGAUUUUUAUUUUUCUAUCUUCUGGUGUUCGUUGGUGAAUUGAUAUACUUUAUAAACAGUAUCUUUUAAUGACUACAGCUAUGUUAGAGAAGAUAGAUUAUAUUCUUUUAAUCAACUGUUUCUCAUUUCUUUUCAUAAAAGUGUCCGAUCUUCAGAAUAGCUUGUUUAAACGUGAAAUACUGCAGUGUGUUUAUAUGUGGUGGAGCACUGAUAAAGGGCAUGACCUGAAAUUCUUGGCAAUAUUUGGAGUACUUAAGUGUGCUGUGGGUUGCUCCUUGAAGACCAUGCUGAUUAAUGCACUCUGGAUGUGGAUGUCUCAGAGCACUCUUUCCCUUGCCCCAUGUGCACUGGUACAGUGCUUUUUCUGAAGGAGGCAUAGGCGUGUAUAUUGUCAUAAAAUCAGUUUUUGCAGUAGUGCUGCAGUCUGCAGAGUGGGUGUUGGUUUCUCCAGGGAGCUACAGCAAGAACAUACUUAGGUGUGCUGUAGUUUGUUAAGGAAGUGUAGCUUUGUAUCUGAAUUGCUCUUCUGUCACUCAACUAACCACAUCCAUUUAUAUUCCGUAGUUUCAGGGAGAACCUUCAAAAGCUGCUGAUCAGAGUAUUGAAUUGAAGGAUAGGUAGUAAAAUCCUCAAGAGGAAAUGAAAACAGAUAAGGCCAGAGUUUAAAAAAACCCUUUACUUCAUAAGUUUAUGUGAAAAGAAGACAAAUACGAGGUGAAAAUAUACAGAUACAUCCAUGCAUAGGAAAGCCAGAAAGGAGAAAAAUCUGAAAACAAGAAAUAAGCAAAACACUUUCUGUGUAUUAGCUGCCAUAUCCAGUAAUCUAGGGAUGCAUUAUAUAGUAUUUAUGAAGUAAGUACUGUAUAUACAAAAAAAAUAUUGUAAACCUGUAGGCUUUGCACUAGAACUGUUUGUUUUUGAGUUAAAAAAAAGAGAAUUCCACAGUGUGUUAAGCUACCUAUGCAGAGAUAAAAGCUUGAGACUUUAGCCCAGAAUGCCCCAAACAUUGAAAAAAGUAGAUGUCGUGACUCUUUCACCAUGUUUUCUGAUAUGAAGCAGCUUUCACUGCAGAUAUUUUUUUCUUGUCCUACAUAGCCUUAGCCUGAGAGGCAGUGAGAGUUCAAAGUAUGAGUUUUCUGAAUGUAGAGUGUUAAAUAAGGGACUUUGUUUUUGAAAGGGGGAUGGGAGUGAAGGCAGAGGCAUCAGGCCAAGGGCAAGGGUGGUUUUUGGUGGCUUAUUUACACCUGAAACAUCCUAACUAAAAAACAUUCUUUCUCCUUUAGCCAUGGUAGAAGAGAGGUGUGUGAGUAGCUCUUCUAGCAAACAUUCAGUGAUUUGAAUUUAUUUUUCUAGCUAGUCAAAAAGUCUUUUAUUGUGGACUAUAAGAAUGCUUGUCUUUAGCUUAUAAAAUUAAAGUCAUUUUGGGCAACAGGAUAUACUCAGGAAGCUAUUCUGGAAAGAAGAAUCCUAAGUAGACUGCAUUAUAGUAAAAUGUAAAAUAAUUUUAAAAAGUAAUUUGAGUGCAUUAAAUGGAAGCUUUGCUUAAUGGAGUAAAGUGAGCAAAGAAAUUUGGAACAGCUGGGAGUAUGUGCUGUUUUAAAUACACAGCUUUUAUACAUGCAUGUGAAUUAAAAUUGAUGCUCUGUAUUGCUCAGAGAAAUUAAGAUGUUAGUAUGAUCAUCAGUGAUUUUGUGUUUAAAAGCAAAGGAUAAUUGGUACUAUACACUGCAGGAAAAUCUAAACGCUUGCUUUUUAUUUCUUUAGUUUUCUUUCAGAUGAAUGUAGGUAUGGAAAGGUAUGUUUGGUCAGAGGCUUGCUAAACUGACAAAGAGAGCUUUUGAACUAAAGUUGCUGGGAAGGGGGAACUGCAAUACAUCUUAACACUUCACUGCCAGAGCUAGAGGAGAAGCCAGAGGCUGGAGAGGGUGUGCAGAGCAACAGGAGAGGACCUCAAGGGUGGCAUAAAGGAAUUCCAAUAAGACUUCAACCAACCCAAUACCUGUUGGAGGGACAGCACAGCAGGGCAUAAGCAUUUCAAGAGGUUCCUGGAAUGUGUUGAUGACAACUUCUUUCUCCAAGUGAUAGAGGAGCCAGUGAAGAGAGGUGCUCUGCUGAACCUUGUUCUAAACUACAAGGAGGAUCUGAUGGGGAAUGUGAAUCUGAAGGGCAGUGUUGGCUGCAGUGACCAUAAAGUGGUGGAGUUCAAGAUCCUUAGGGCAACAGGGGAGAUGCACAGCAAGCUUGCUACUCUGAACUUCAGGAGAACAGAGCUGGCCCUCUUCAGGGAUGUGAUUGGAGGAGUACCUUGGGAUAAAGCUCUGGAGGGAAGAGGAGCCCAAGAAAGCUGGUUAAUAUUCAAGGAUCACAUCCCCAAGCUCAGGAUGCAUCCCAACAAACAAAAAUUUGGGCAAAAUCACUGACAGACCUGCAUGGAUGAACAGUCUGUUCCUUGCUAAACUCAAACACAAAAAGAAGCCUGCAGAGUGUGGAUGCAGGGAUAGUUAGUCUUGGAAAUUGUCUGACGAAUCAGAUAUCAGGGGAGGAAAGCUGAAGUCCUGAUAAAUUUAAAUCUGGCUAGGGAGAUCAAGGCCAACAGGAAAAUCUUGUCACUGGUAAAAGAAAGGCUAGGGAAAGUGUAGGUUCUCUCAGGAAGGAAGCAGUGAACCAGGUCACACAAGAUGUGAAGAAGGCUGAUGUACUCCAUAACUUUCUUGCCGCAGACUGGCAAGUGUGGCAGCCACACUGGCCUGAGUUGCAGGAUGCAAAGACAGAGACUGGAAGAAUUAAGAACCACCCACUGUAGAAGAUCAGACAUGAGACCAUCUAAGGAAACUGAGGGUCCAUGGGACGUGAUGAGAUACAACUGUGGGUCCUGUGGGAACCGUCCAAAGAAGUGGCAAAGCCUCCACCCAUCGUAUUUGGAGAAACUGUGGCAGUCUGGUGAGGUUCCUUCUGGAAAAGGGGAAACAUAACCCUCACUUUUAAAAAGGGAGAUUGGGAAGACCUUGGAAACUACAGGUCAGUCAGUCUUACCUAAGUGUCUAGGAGAAGUUCCUCCUGGAAACUCUGAGUAAUUGGUGACAGCCCAAAUGGCCUUUUGUGAUGGGAUUACAAUGUUGGUGGAUACAGUAAGAGCAACUGAUACCAUCUUCUGAGAACUGUGAAAAGCAUAUGACACUGUCCAACAUGGUAAUCUCUAAACUGGAAAGACGUGCGCGUGGUGGUUGGAUCACUAAGGGGAUCAGGAGUUAGCUGGAUGGCUGCUCUGGAAGGAUUGUGGUCAGCAUCUUGAUGUCCAAAUGGAGAAGACAGGCAUUCCUCAGGGGCUGGUGUUGGCACUGGUGCCGUUCAGCAUUGUUGUUAUUGACACGGACAGUGGAUCAAGGGCGCCAUCAGUAAGUUUGCCAACCACACCAAGCUGUGUGGUGUGAUCAUAAGAAGCUGGAGGGAGGGGAUGGCAUCCAGAGGGAUCUGGAUAGGCUUGAGAGAUAGGCUUGUGUGAACCUCAUGAAUGAAGUUCAGCAAGGCCGAGGGCAAGGUCCUGCACCUGGGUUGGGGCAGCCCCAAGCACAAAUAGAGGCUGGGUGGAGAAUGGACUGAGAGCACCCUGGGGAGGACUCGGUGUGCUGGUGGAUGAGAAGCUCAACAUGACCCAUCAAUGUGUGCUUUCUGUCUGGAAAGCCAAACACAUCCUGGGCUGCAUCACAAGAAGCAUGGCCAGCAGGUUGAGGAAGGUGAUUCUCCUUCUCUGUUCUAUUCUCUGUAUACUCCACCUGGCCCCCCAGCAUAUGGACAUGGAUGAGAGGGAACAAGUCCAGAGAAAGGUUGUGGAAAUGGUCAAGAGCCUGAAGUGCCUCUCCUGUGAAGACAGGCUGAGGUAGUUGGGGUUGUUUAGUUUGGAGAACAGAGGGCUCUGGAGGCCUUCCAGUAUAUAAGGAAGCUCCAAAAGAGCUGGAGGGGGAGUUAUUACAAGGGCUGUGUAGAGAUAGGAGAAGGGGGUAUGGCUUCAAAGGGAAAAGGAGGAGGUUUAGAUGAGAUGUUAAGAAUAAAUCCUUUAUUUAUUUAUAAAUAAAGGUGGUGAGAUAUGAGGGUGGUGAGACACUGGAAAAUGCUGCCCUGAGCAGCUGUGCAUGCCUUAUGCCUGGAAGUGCUGUACUGGACAGGGCUUUGAGUAACCUGGUCUACAUAAAGGUUCCCAAUCUGUGACAGGAAAGUUAGACCCAGAUGAUCUUUAAGAUCUCUUGCAUCCCAAAACAUUCUAUGCUUCUAUGAUAUCUUCUACUUUUUUUUUUUUUUUUUUUUGAGUGUUUCAGCAACCUCUUCAAAAUUCUCACCGGGAUAGGAAGUGUUAACUAUAGAUCCUGAUGCCUCAAGUCUCUAUGAGGUUCAUUUAACUUUGACACUCUUGCCAAUUUGCUUUUUGAUAUUCUUGAAACUUCACUUCUUUUGAAUAAGUGUGAAGAAAGUUACAGGUUGGUUUAGUCCCAUCUCCCUAUUUUCUCCAGCGAAACUAGAAAAAAAUGUGGUAUUUGUAUGGAGUCAGAAAUUGUAUUUUGUUUAAAACUUCCAGUGCCAUUUCAUUGCAGUGAUCUAAAAUUAUUAGAUUAAGUUUUCCUUACAGAGAAUAGUUUAUCCACUAAUACCACAUGACAAAGGAGUUUUACAGCACAGUAGCUUUUAUUCUGAAGUCUUGACUCCUUUUUUAUUCAAAUUGAAUGUACCCUCAGGCUUUAGAUUUGUGACUUCUCCUAUAUUAGGGUAGCCUGAAGAUGAGCUCUCCAGUUCUUGGCAAGUCCUAAGCUCUUUUUUCAGUUUUUGUCACACAGAGCUGUGACCAUCUGGUGGUAGAUGUCUUAUUUUUUCCUUCUGGAAGUGUACUUUUCCUUAGUGAACCUAAAUAUUCUCUAAUCCCUUUGAGAGUAAAUAACUCUGUUCUGGAGAGCCCUGGCAGUACUUCUUAUCUGGAAAGAAUGCUCCUAUUUUCUAGCAGUGUCCUGCAAAGAAAGCUUACUUAAUCAGUAUUGUUAAGAUGAACUCCAGUUCUUCAGUUUUACUUUUGUAUAUUCUGUCAGUGGCCAGUUUCUUAUUCUAGGUUAUUAUAGAUCUAGAUUAAUCUGACAUCUAAACAAAAGAUUGCUUUUGACUGUGUGUGUGGCUGUUGUUUUUCUUGUAAAGUGUGUAUACAUUCAAAAAGAAAAUGGUAUUUUUUUCUACUUUAUAUUUUGAAAAACAACACCAAGUCCUGUAGAAUGGGUGGCAAACAAUGCCACAUUUCUCCUGAAAGGAAAGAAUUAGACGGUUUCAAAAAGUUAUUUACUAAAAAAAGAUAUUUUGAUGCUACAAUUAAUGUGACUGGUGAAGAAACCUUGGAUCAGGACUACUAUCCCCUGGAUACUGGUUGGAUUGUCAUAUUACAGAAUUGUGUGAGGAAAAGCCAGGCAGAUAUUCUGGGGCCUUCCCCACUCUUCCCUUCCCAUGAGUUUUUUACAGUAGCUUAUAUUGCUGGCAAGUGUCUAGCUUGUAAUCCUUUUUGCAUGUUUGAAAGAUACACCUGGAAAGGGAAGGCUUUGUGUAAUUUGUUAUUCCCAAAUCUGUUCUUUUGCAACAAAAAGACUGUCCCUUUACUCCACUGUGUGCUUAAGUAUCAAAACUACUUAAGAUAAAAAAAGCAAAAACCACAAAGGCAUAAUGCUGUAAUUUCAAAAUGAUACAAAGGCACUUCAGAGCAGGCAGUAGUAUUACAGGCUUUAUCAGUGUUGCAUCAGUUCUUUCCUUCAUAAAUCUUUCACUACACAAAUCAAAUAUUUGACAAAAGUGAUGUAAGGGAAAAGAUGUUACAAAUCUCCAGUACAGUUAAAAUGACUGCUCCUAAGGAAGGUAAUUAUUUCAUCAUUCCAUCCACAGUUCCCCAAUUCGUCUAGAAAGCCAGUUAUUGAGAAAGACUUAGUAAUUUUGAGGCCAUGCUCAUUGUAGGGUGUUUCAGACUAAGUAGUGGCUCAGGUGCAAGAAUACAUCUUACUACUCAAGUCACUGGAAUUUUUUUGGGGGUAGAUGAGGUUUUUUUUUCCCCCCACUGAACUGCACAUAGAAGUUCCCCCUUUACUUGGCUGCAUUACACAGAAUACACAAGCAGAUAUUUACAAAUCAUGCUUUAGCUGGUAGGCAGUCACUAGAGGGUAAUAUAUUCUCAUCUCACUUUUGGUCUUUCCAAAUCCUCAGGCAGCUACCUCUGUGCAGUUAUUUAGCAUGUGAGGCAGAAUUGGCAGCUUUUUGAAUGUUUGCAGUCAGAAUACUUUUGUUGGAUGUUGCAAUAAUGGGGCUACAGUAUUGCCUGAAAUCUUCAUUGGACUAAACUAAUGUCAGUGCUGUUGGCAAAUAAAGCCUGUAUUUUCAGCAAACUCUUGAAUUCUUGAGGUCUUUUAAAUUUUCAUAUACUUGAAACUCUUUGUGAAAAAGAAAGCCCCUUUGAGAAUCUACCAGGCUAAUUGCUUGCAAAGAAGCAAUGUCAUCACAUUUACCUUGGAUUUGAUAAGAAGUGUGUGGUUGAGGCAUGUGGUUGUUUCAGACCAUUGUAAUUUGGGGACAAGAAAAUGGAAAGGAAUUUUUUUUUAAGUGACUUGGUCUCCUGUUGCAUACUGGUCAACUUGAUGUGUUGCUGCUCAGAAUCACAGAGAAUUACAUAUUCUCCAAUAAUGCUUAUCAGAAUAAGUGUCUGUCUAGAACCAAAAACUGUGAAAUUUUUUAUGCAGUAUUUCUAUUCAGCAGUCAGACCUGAUCUUCUACAGAGUCUGAAAUGGCUUCUUAUCCCAUCUGACAACUUAGUAGCUACAGAUUAUUUCAGGUUUUUUCUGUUCUGCUGUGAGUUUUUUCAUCAAUCUCUUGCGAGAAAUGUUCUCAAAGAUUCUACUGAAUCAAAUUCUCUAUGCUUAGAAGUGUAUAGUGGUAACAAUUUGCUUUUGAGUGGUAGUUGUCACUUACCUAUACAGACAAAUUCACAAGUGCUUUUGAGAAACUCCAGUAAUUUUCUCUGGAGUUCUUUUUUAUCCUCCGAUUUGUGAAUUCUAGUGGCAUAAAUCAGUUUGUUAUUCUGUGCUUCAAAACUCUCUGCCCUCCAUUUGCACCUUCCUAUCUUUCCAGGUCUGCCCUCCAUUUGCACUUUCCUAUCUUUCCAAGAGAUUAAAAAGUUAUAUUCUGUAAGUUUUUAAAAUAUCUUAAACCUGGUCAAUGACUGGAUCUGUACAAGUGAUUUGGUAGACACUCAGAGGUAUGUAGCUGGAAACUGUAGAAGGAAUACCCAGUUAACAGUUGCAGUUGUGUGCUAAAAAUAUAUGCGGGCUUAGAUGAAGAACUGUAAAAGUAAUUGUAACAUACUUUCUGCCCUCCAAUGACUCUGAUCCCAAAGUGCAUCCUUGCCUAAACAUAGCCAGCCUUGGAAUUGGCCGCCAGAGGGCAAACUAAAUGUGCAUGCUCCCCACUCCCAUAUGUUCUUGAAAAUCAGCUGCAAUUCUUCAUGUCAAUGUUAUUAGAUUUUUUUUCCCCUCUACAUUAAUGGUAAAUACUUUUUAAAGAAAAUAUUAUUUUUUGCCGAAGAGGUCAUCUUGUCUUGGCUCAUUGUGUAGCAACAAUAACCUGAGGAACCAACUUUGAAAGAGCAUGUUUCAUAGGAAUGGUGUAAAACAUCACCAGGCUAGUUUUACAUCUUAACUGCUGGAUGACUUUUGAUGGCAUGUGCAAGCAGAAGAUCAUCUGUGAGUCUUUUGUUUCUUUUCAUGAUCAGAAAGAGCAUUAAUCAGUAUUAGGCUAUAAAGAGGCUCUUGUUUACAGUAGGAACUCUUUAGUCGUGAAGGUUUGGGAAUAGCUAUUCCAAAGUCCGUUUCCCUGAUGCUGCGGACACUGACAUUCUUACUGUAUGUUUGAAACAAGAUAAAAUUUUGUUCUGUAACUCAAAGUAGUUCCAGGAGUUCCAUUUUACACUUGCAUAGAACUUUGUUGUGUACUUUCCCUUUAAAGCAAACCACUUUACUAGACAAAAUUGCGCAAAAGUUUUGCUCAGGCAGGUACUGAAUUUGUUCUCAGUGUAGGUAUGAAAGAUGACACAUCUCAAUGUUCAUACAUUUUUUAGGUCAGUAGAAAUAGACAGGGUAGAUUUGUUUGGAGAAUUAUGUACAAAAUUUAAAUAUAGAAAGACUAAAUAAAACCAUCUACUCUGAACUUUUCAGCUGUUUAACGAGCAGGGAAUUGAUUAUAGUCACGAAAUUUAGAAGCUUAAAUUGAUAUUAUCUUCUGCAAUGGUGUACUGAUGGAUACAUCCUUAUUUUAAUUCGUCUUUCUCUGAAAAAAUAUCUUUCUUAUGUGACAUAAAAUUAUGGCUGUCAGAUAAAAUAGUAUAUGUAACGAAAUGCUAUGUCGUUGGAAGGGAAUGGUACCAUGAUUUAAUUUGCUGUUAGUUUUCAUACUGAUUUUAGAAUGUAGGUGAGUGCAUUUUUCUUCCUGGUAUUUUCUUCCUUGGUAUUUGUCAAUACCAAGCUAUGAUGUGGUGUGUUCCUGUUUAAAUUUGGACUUCUUGGCCAUGGUUAGUUUUAUUUUGUAAAAGUUUCAAUAUGGCCUGGGUCAAACCACUGUGAAGCUAGGUGAGAUUAUUACAGUACAGAGAGAAAUGCUUUGACCAUAUAGGUAUGGUGUUAAGUAAUCUUGAUUCAUAAAAAUUGUGGAUUUAUUAGCUCUCAUGUGCAAGACAAUAACUAAUGUGGACUGUAUGUUUAUAAUAACAUUUUUCUGUUAUUCUUUGUAAACAUUUAUAAAUAUAUUUGUUGAGCUUUCUCUUCGGGAUUCAUGUGACUUUGUAGGAAUUUUAGAUUUGAUUCAUACAGAAUUGGUCAUUUUAUAAUUAGAGAAAGUAGAAGGUGGAAAAUUAUCCUGACAGAGUAAGUUAAGUAUUUGACAAGUUUUCAGUGGAUCUGCUUUGUAGAUGAUAUGUUGUAAUAUAAUAUAAAAUAUAUUAUAUUUACAAUAUGAUAUUUCUGUAAUGUCUGGCAGAGGAAGAUUUUGAACCUCUACAUGUGUAUACAGCUUCCUACUAACAUGAGUUGUAGUAAAGGACCAUUUUCAUUAGUGGCAGUUUGAUAUAUUUUCCACAACAUCUUGGCCAUAUUAAUUGUAUUUCACAAAGGUUUUCUCUUGAAAGAUUGAGUGGGUAAGAUGAACAUGUCAUUGUGUGGAGAGAUGUCCCUGAGCCAUCAAAAUUGCAAAAAAGCACAAAAAAGACUAGAAAGUCUCUUAAAGCAGGAAAGUGGCAAACUUCAGAUACUUGCUUGUGCUUAUCUCUAUGGUGGAUGAAACAGCUUUAAGACUCAUUUGAUACAUUUAAUGCUUGUCUUUUCAAUUAAAACACAGCAUGUAAAGAGUCAAAAAUCCUCUCUGUUAUUUUGGUAAAUCUGUAUGUGUAAUGAAGUGUAUUUUGUUCCUUUUUUUUUUUUUUUUCAAAAUACUCCAUAUUCAAUAUAUACUUUUUAUUAAAAUAAGAUGUUUGAAGUUUAAAAAAAUAGUUUUUGGGAGUGUUCUUUCAGAAUAUCUAGGAAAGAGCUUUGAAGUUCCCAUGUAGCAGGCAGCCUUUCAUUAUAGAUAUUGAUGACAUUACAAUUGGAACAAUAGUCUGCAUUGAUUUUCAUAACAUCCUAACAAUAAUGUGGGGGAUAAUUUUAUAAUGCCUUAAUAUAAAUCUGUCUUUUUCAAGAAAAAAAAUCAAGUCCUAUUGUAGUACAAUUUCUUAUUUAAAACUCAAACGGUGUUUCUGGCAUGUGCAACUGAAGGAGGCAUACCUGUCGUCUUACACAAGACUCUUUCCUGACUGAAUGUUAAAAUAUUUUCAUAUUAAUUUAGAAACUGUUUUUAUGGCAUUUCUACAAACUCCUGUCCAGUUUGAACUCUUACCUGUACUAUUAAUGAAAAUUUCUUUUCCCUCUCUUCUCCCUCAGACUUGACCUACCUGCUCAUGCUCUUGAAUAAAUGUAGGGAUAUCUACUCUAAAUGACUCCUGGAGAGGAAAAGUUUUUUAAUAAGUGACUGUGAAAAUAGGAACUUGAUGUAUUUAUUAGUGUAUUACAUUUCUCAAACAGGGUGUAGUGAAGUAGCUCUAAAGGAGGUGAUUCAUGACCCAUCAAAUGAAUUAUUGGAACAAAUGAAUUUCCCAGAAAUGUUGUGUUCAAACAGUAACAGAGGGUUUUCUAGAUACAUCAGAAAAACUGACACUGAUGGCUUUCCUUUCUCUGCCUUUUCUGUUCCAAAUAAAAGUUCUUGCUGGCUGUGCAUGAGAUAGGUGACAAUUGAAGAAUGGAACAUAGGAAAGAAGUGUCUUUUCAAUAAUUGUGUUCCUUAUGACUGCUUCAAAACUGGCUCAGAUAAAUUGUUGACAAUUUGAACCUUAAUGAUGUAGGAUGCAUGGUUGCUUUGUUUUCUUUUACAGCUUAUCUUGUUCUUCUUUCAUGAACAUGUGUUGUACAUUUAAUUGUGUGAUCCUGCAUUUUUGAAGGCAGUUUUGCUUGUUUAUUUAACAAACUGUCUUACUUUCAAUGUUCUUUUUAUUAUUAUUGUUUUAGAAAUGUGCACUUAGUGAAUUAUAGACUGCACCUUAAUGAAGUAAUUAUUGAGGGAAGAACAGUCUGCAGCCACUGUAUAAUUGUCUUUUGCUGGGUAAUGCAAUCAAAUUUGUAGUUACACUCAUUCAGCUUUUUGUGUCUCUUCUCUAGGGUCUUUUAAGUGGAUUGUUCUAAAAAUAUAGCAGUUGUUAUCUUUGAUAGUGUAAAUACUGUGGGAAUUUAAAGCUUAAGAUCUUUUAGAGGAAAAAAACCCCAAUGCCUUCAUUGAUAGACAGAUCCACAGAUGCCUGUUGCUUCUUGUGGUGCUGGCUAUUAGCAGUCUGCUUUGUAGUUCUUCCAUGGUUGAAUUAAAUCUGGAGUUUUUUAGGAGUUGAUCUGGUCUUCUAAUAAAACUUACUUGAACUUUGUCUUCCUGAAAAAACAGUGUCUGAAGUAACUGUAUUAAUGUCUCUGGGGUGUUUUAUACAGAGAUACCAGAGUUGACAGAAGAAGUAAGAUCAAUUUUUCUUUAAGAUGUACAAGAAUAAGGCUGUUUGGAACCAAUCUGUUCAGUCCAUAUAUCAAACAUUAGAUAUAUCUGUAACAUUUAGAUUGUGGUAAGAUUGCAUGCAAAUUUUUAUAUUUUAGUUCUCUCCUUUAGUAUUUCUCUCAUAAUCAAAUGAGCUUUAAGGAAUAGGUCAAGUGUAUGGCAAAAAUGACACUGAUUUGAACGUAGCUAUCCUGUUGGGCUUGAGCUGUAUGUCCUGCUUAGAUAUUUAUAGUUUUGUAUGAAAUGUGUUUGAAACAUACUGUGUUUGCUUGCAGAAGGGAAGCCAGUGUUGCGCAGCUGUAGAGAUGUUAAGCUAGCCAUUUGCUUGCCCUUUGUGUUCUUUCUUACUCUUGUUUUGUCUGGUCGUCUUCUCUACAUUUUUAUGCUAAAAAAAGGAAAAAUUGUACAUUGUCAGCAAUGCAACAAUCCUACAAAGAAAGUCUCAUACAUCUGUAGUAAUGACUUCUUUAUAGGAAAUAUGUGAGGGAAAAUAAAACAAGUCAAACUCAAUGUCUGUAGUUCAGCAGCUUAUGUCUGACAGUUUGCAAUAGCAAGUAACCAAAGUAGGAGAUAAAAGCAUCAACGUAGUUAUAGAGCCUUCUUCUUAAAAAAAAAAAUCUCUGAAGGGCUGCAGUGUCUUAAUGUAUUUCUGUAGUAUGCUAUGGCUGCUCCCCUUUUUUGUGUUCUGUUUUGCCAUUUAUGGCUGUAGUUGCAGCUUUGAAUGCAAAUUGCUGUCCUUCUGGUGGGAUAAUGGUUUUAUUUUGUACUCCAGACCUUGUCCUAUAUGGAUAUUAGAAAUUAAGAACAACAUUCUGUUUAACUGAGUUAUAUGAACCAUAUAUAAUCUGUGUUUCCAUAGAAUUUAACUAGAAGCUGACUUGGCCUUCUGGUUAAAAUAGAGCUUAAGAUACUUCUGAGUUGAAAGGAUUUCACCACCUAUUACUACAUCCUGUGGCUUCUACUUUAAUGAGGAACAAAGAAUAUAUUGGAUAUUUUUGACUUUGAUUUUCAGUAGUUAACCAACACACAUUUGCAUCCAAUAAUGAAGAAAAAACAUAUUUAGGUUUGUACUGUGGUCUUAAUAUAAAGUUAUUCCUGCUAUCUUUAAGCUUGACCAUAUAUUUUUUUUCUUAAUCAGUUAUUUUGAAUUCCCUAGGACUGGAUUUAUACCUGUGUCUGUCAGUGAUCCCUUUUCUUACUUCUGAAAACUUAAGAAAAGAUUAGUCUUCUUCUCCUCUGACACGAAAGGAUUUUUAACUAUUAUGAGUGGCUGUGGGAUUGUUGCUAUUUGGAAAACGAUAUUUUUAAGAAAUCUCGGUUGUCACAUAUUGCUUGUUUGGUUUUUGCUGUGUACCAGUAAAAUAAUUCUAGCAUUUCUUAUCAAGCUACAAUCAAUUCUGCAGUUCUUUUUUUUUUCUUUCCCUCAGGUUAACAGCUGCUUUAGUUUGUUAGAUGCAGUGCUUACAAAUUCGGAGGUACUGCAGUACUUGCAAACAGUGAAGGUGAUUUAAUGCUGUUACCUCAUCAGAUUAUCAGAUUAAAAAAGGAUAAAACAACAAUUUACCAGAGAAUUUUUUAACUGAAUACUUAGCUUUUCAUAUCGUACCUUCAUAUAAUUCUUGUGUAGUCUGUCCUCUAAUCUUUGACCUUCCCUAAAGAUGUAUAUUUCAGAGUGAACCUGAUAGUCACAUUGAACAAAGCUCUCAUUAGGCACUAUCAUGGUACUUUACUUGCCACCUUGUUUUGUGUGGAAAUUUAUCUUAAGCAAAAAACUGAAUUGUGAUAGUCAUGAUUGAAUUUAGAGCUUGUGGGCUAUAUUUAGGCAUUUUUUUAUAAGGUAGGCUCUUCUGUACUUUCUCUUGCAUCAGAUUUAACUGGAAUUAACUGAUUAUUGCUGCUACAAAAAACAGGAGAGGCAUAGAGCAAUUCAGAUUAGAAAGACAAAUUACUAUCUUCAGAAACACGUUCUGACAUGGGUUGGUCCAUUUUAUUCAAAGGCAAAUUGUACACUUUCAUUACAAGUAUUUGAGAUAGAACCAUUUUAUACAGUGAUCUACAUUUCUAAGCAGCUAAGUAUUACUUGUUUAUUCACAAAUCACUGAUCUUCAAAAAAUUACCAUCAAUGAAGGUGCAAUUUUCUGAAAAUUUAGACAUCAGUCAGUACAGAGGGGAAGGAGAAAUAAUAAGCUAGAAAAGUGAUUGCUAAUGGACUUACUGAAUUCAUUUUAGAGGAAUCUACAAUACUGAGACCAUUGAAAAAACCUUAGUAGAUAUUAUGGGCCCCCAGUACAAUUGUAAGUUGGUGAAAUGUGGAAAAAUUGUGGAUAGAAAUCUUAAUGGUGCCUUGUGUUUCAGAAUGCACAGGCUUCAACUAGAUGACAAGAAAAUUUUAAGAUUGUGCAGAUCACCUACAGAGUUGCAAAAUUAAUGUUCUACACUUUUACUCUUUAGUUUUUCUAUCUCUUUGAAGAGAAUUUAUAUAAAUGAAACAAAACUAUGACACACAGUUUUCAGUAACUCCCGUGUAAUUAACAGGAUGACCAUGUGAAGUAUAUUUGUGGAAUGUGAUCAAUAAUUCUGGAUUUGUAUCAUGUUUAGGUUUAAUGUGAACGUAACUGAAGCUGAUGUUAUGGUACUGUCUUAUAGAUAAUGAUCUAAAAUAUAGAUAUAAUAUUGCCAUCACCAUCAUCAAAGAUGGUGAUGGUAAAAUGAAAUGUGUAGGCACGUGCCAGAGCUUCAGUACUCUUCAGUGAGCAUAUGGAUUUUUUACAUUAAUCAUAUUCUGAUACACUUUUAUCAUCUAGUGAAAACUGUUUGCGUUAUGGGUAUAUAUUUCAAUCCAGAAUGCUACAUUUAUAGAAAAGAGUGAGGUAAUCUGAAAGUUUAGUCAUUGAACUAAACUGCUGUUUGUUUACUUUGAUAGCAGAGUGGGUCAAGUGUGUCACCUUUAACAUGAAGUUUCUUUGAGCUUAUGUGUGUCUCUUGCCAGUUUGUAAUCUUUAAAGGAAGCAUCAAGUAUUCUGUACUUGAAUGUUACACUGCUAAAAGUUCAGGAAGAGCCAAUUUCUCUCUGACUGUUUGAAUGUUGUAAAGAGCUACUUGCAAUUUCAGCCUUUCAAUUUCAAAGUUAUCAUGUUGUUGUAGACUGGAGAUCAUUGGGUUUUCUCUCCAUUCUAAAUGUCGUUAUUCUUUACCUUCAAAAAACCUAUUUGAUUGUGGUGUCUUUUUAAAUAAAUUUUCCCCUCCCUACUUUUAUCCAUCUUUAUACAGGAGACAAAUGAUUGCAGGAAAAAGGCUUUUUCAUACAUGAAUCACCUUUUUCUUCAUCCCAGCUGACUGAUCUUGUGUACCAUACAGACUAUGCUGGUAGUAACCUAUGUAUGAUAUCACUGUAACAUCAAAAGAGAAAAUAGGAAGUAGUUAGUUUGUGACCUGAUCCAUUUUUUAUUUAAGAUGCGUGCUAGAUUUGGUAUUGCAGAUAUUUUAAUUUAGAUGCAGUCCAGAUUUUGUUGUUUAGGUUUGAACUAAAUAAAUCAUCUUCAUAAGUAUUGUUUGGAAGAAAAUGCAUAUUGUGCUUACCCAUGCAGUAAUUACCUGUGUUUUAAAUGGGCAGGCUGAUGAUGUGCACUGGUAGCAGUACAUGGAUACUUUGGACUUGCAGCUUCCAAACACGGACUUGGAGAAUGGAGCAGUAUGUGCUGCUGUAUGAGAAUGAACUCCAUUCCAGCCAGACUCAGCCUGCUGCCAGUUCCUAUUUGCAUGGCUUCUAUCUAUGAGUUCUUUUAUUCUGUCUUGCUGGAGUUCUGCCCCCUCCUUGCUUCUCCCAUAUUUGCUUUCACUGCUAUCCUGCUAUGAAGCCUGUCUCUUGUGAGAGACAAGACACUCACAAAAUUUGUCUUUUUCUGUCUAUAAGAACACUUUUCAAACUUUGAUUUGCUGCUGUAAUCAUACAUUGUUCCUAAAUUGUGGACGUCAGGGGUAGCUGCGUCUCCCAGACUCUCAUUUUGUUUCUAAUCUAGAAGCAUUACAUGAUGAAUUAGUGCUGAAGUACUCCCCCACGUGUGUGCCUCUCUUCAGGACAAUUACACACUUCAUCAGUGUAGACUGAGUUGAGUACUUAGUCUUCUGUCCCACUCAGUUUGCAUUACUUGUUUUUUUCUUUUUUCUUCUUUUAGUCUCUUUUCUGUCUUUUUAACCACAACAGCUGCAGUCAAGGCAGAUAACCUACUAAUUCUGUAUGUAUUUAAACAGAUGUGUAAAACUUGUUUUUUGAUGAACUUAAUUAUAGUUUAAUCUUUUAAAAUUAUUAUUGUCCUUGCCCUGAUUCAAAAUCAGUACUUGAUUUGGCAAACAGACAAAACAAAGGAUGAGUCAGACAUUUUAGAAUCCUAAUGAGACCGGCUAUCAAAGAAACACUAAGCAAUACGGUAUUUCUUAAUGGAAACGUGCUGAAUACUUGAAAUUGUUGACAUAAGAAUGGUUGGCUUAACUCUUCAUGGGGUUUUAAAAUUAUGGUGUUGGGUAAGUUAUGCAUGAAGACUUUCAGUUGUAAUGAGUUUGUUUUUUUUUUUAAAGAUAUAUAUCAGCGUGCUGCAUGGGGACUAUCAGGUGUUCACACUCAUUAUUGCACAAAGGAGUAUUGGAGGGGACUUUUGUUUUUUGGUGCACUUGGCAGAUUCUUGCUUUACAUAAACUUUGAUGUUACAGAAAUCGUACUGUAAAACUUUUGCUGUGAUUAAUAACAGGUUGCAGAGUUGUGUGCCUGAACAGCUUUGAGAAUUGAUACUUUCCAAGUAUUUAUGUAUUAGAGGUGCUAUGUGCCCUGGUUCUUUGCCAGGGAUCCUGUUAAAAUCGCAAUAUUGAAGGCUUUAUUAUUUUUCAUUGUUAGCUCUGUUUCUUGUGUCACUAUUGAUUGAUUUGGUUUUUAGUUGCUGUUUCUCAGUGAACUGAAAACAUUGGAGACCUAAGACUUUUGUUUAUAACAUUCGUUAUCAUACAACACUGUUUAAAUGAUGUUCAAGCGUUCUUUUGCUUUUUCUCUCUCUUUUCACUUGGUUGUAACCUUGUGGGAUAAUUCCAUGGAAUAAAGGAGAGAGCACAAAACAGUGGAAACUUCUAACUCCGGUUAGUAUACAUUCAGAAUUCCGGUAAUGAGUUACAGGAGAUUACCAUUACUAAUAGGAACCAGCUGACCAAAAAGAAAGUCAACUCAUAUGCAACUAUUAGAAAGUAACAGAAAACAAAUUAGAAGAUGUGGUUAAGUUCCUGUAUAAUUCUGUGGGGCAUAUUGUCAUUCCCCCUCUUCUUACUCCUCAAGAUAUAGUAUAGAAUUACCGUAAAUAUUAAAAAGAGGAAAACAAGUGAUAAAGGGUAUCAAAAAGUAGAUUUUCAUUUAAAAAAAACCUUCAUAUUUGAGGACUCUGAUAGGGAGAAGGAAUGGUAAUGAGAGGAUGUUGCUUUGCUUUUUUUCUCCAAAGACCUCUAUCUUUGGUUAUUGAUCAUUCUGUAUCUCUUCAAUAAGACAGCAGCUGUCUGUUCUUGGCUCCAGCUGGAGAUGGAAAUUGGAGUAGAUGGUUCCAUGUGGCAGGGUCAGUUGCCUACGUACAGUGGCAUACACUCUAAAACCAGGAACAUUUAUGUCAAUGGAAGUAUUUAAAAGCACAGGAAUUCUAGUGGAAUGAAUACAAGAUGGAUUAACUUGAAAUUUAAAGCCAAAGACAGUAGAAUGCUUUUAACAAAGAAAAUGAAAAAGUCUGUGUACCCGAAGUAAUUGAAACAUUGGUGGGUUCUCAUGUGGGUGACCAUGACUUUGGAGAGCAGAAAAGAGGUACUUCUCGUUGAAUUUUGCUCAAUGUCAUUGAAUUUCACUUUCACGGGAGGAACAGUUAGGGUCACAAGGAAACUGAAAAAAUUAUUUUCCGCAGCUUAUGCCAGUCCUAGCAAAAAUACAAGCUGGGCGAAUCUUUUAUUUAAUCUACCUCCAAAACCAAUACUAGUGACCAAAAAGAGCUCUGCAAAACAGGUGGGGAUUUCAUAUUUUUGAAAUAUAUUGCUAAAAUGAUUAUUUUAUAAUAACAGUAAUGGUCUGUGGACACAUGAUUUGCUUCCAAUGCAUUAAAGACAAAAAUCCUGUAUAGUUCAUUACGUAAUUGUCCUUGGUACUGGAUGAAAAUCAAGAUGGCAAUUAAAAACCAAAAUUCACCUCAGCAAAAAAAAAUAGAAACAAAAAUAAGGAAAAAACCAAAACCUGUCAUGAUUUUUUUACCUUUUGUUGUCUUUAAUUCCAGUCAUUCUGGUUUUCUUACUUUUGUCUGAGUUAAAAAAAAGAUCUGGAGAUUAGUAAGCACAACCAGCACCUGUGUUAAUGAACUGGAAUUUAUCAGCCCUAUUCUGACUGGUUCCAGUCUCCCAUAUUUAUCACUGUACACAUUAAUCACUAUUCUAUGAAUAGUACUAUUGUGGUAGGUUUUAUUAAUUGAGAUAGGCUGGAGCCAUAAGUAUGGAAUAUCACUACUGCAGCACUUUUCUUUGAGGAGCUGCUGACAAAACCGCCAGCUGGUGACUGGUAUAGAUAAGGAGGGCUUGUUCUGUGACUGUAGAAUGCUUUGUCCUUAUCAUUGAGAUCUCAGUAUCUUUCAGGAAUUUCAUAAUGUGGCACAAGUAGAGCUUGAGAUGUGAUUAUUUUUUUUAUUUCACUAAGUGAGGUUUUACACUUUGUUUUUGCAGUACUUAAUUUUUUUUAGUUGCUGAUGAUGAUUAUAAUUUUCUUUUCUAUCAAGGUAUGUCCAGACAGUGGAUAUUUCAUUUCAGAAGGGCAACCAGCAGUGCCUUUAAAAUUCUGUUGCUCUUACUUAUUUUACAAGAUAUUAAAGAGAAAUAAUCUGGAGGAACAGUCUUCUAGGAUACAUUCUGCACCACAAAAAAAGCCUGAGCAAUGGGCAUUGAAGCUCAUUGCAUGGAAGGCCUGGUAGUUGGCAUAAAUUAUAUAAGUUGCCUAAAGAAUUAAUUUCUUCCUGGUAUACUUGCUGGAAAUAGAUGCAGUAACAGUAUGAUUAAUUGGCUUUGUCAGUCAAAACAUGCACAUUUUGUACAAAAUAUUCAAAGGAAAUUUCACCCAAGCCCUAAGGUGCUUGAAACUUUCAGAUUUACAGUAUAUUUUCAGAUUUACAAGCUGAAUUGACAGAAGAGAAAUCAGCUGGCAAAAAGGAGUUAAGCACAUGAAGUGCCAAAUUGCUGUGUUUUGGAGUAAUUUCAGUGACACCAUUAUUUGAAGUAAUAUUUUUUCCCCUUUUGAUUUGCUUUCUUCCUUUUGGUUUGAAUCAGCUUGGGCCACGUGUGGCCAUAAUUUCUCCUUUAUUCCUCGAAUGCUCUUGGAGGAUUUUGUGGAAAUAAUAGGCUGCGAAUCUUGUAUUAUUUUGUUCAUAUCUGCAUGGUGGUGUAUGUAAGAGAGCUGAUGCCUAAAGUUGUCUCCUUAAAAUGGAGAUGAUGUGUGUGUGAAGUAUUUAAGACUGGUCAAUGACUUAUUUAGAAUCAGGGAUAGGAAAGUUUUGGAAAAGAUCCUUAAGAUCAUCAAGUCUAGCUGUAAAAGUAUUACUAGUGAAUUAUUCUGGUACUUCUCUAGCAAAGCAGGAAGGAAGCUGGUCUAAGUCAGAUCAGUGGAGUUUCCAAUAUGCAUUUUUAUGGUAUGAGCAAAGAUAAUGCCCCAACAACACAAUGUAAAUAAGUAGCAUCAUUUUUAUAAAGACAUAUUUUCUUCUAAAAUUGCAUAGUGCCAUCUGUGUUGUUUAUAAAGUGCCCUAAGUUAGGGAAAAGAAUAAACAAACCCCAAAAUGAGUACUGAAAAUUAUGAAGAUGUGAGUAGCAGUAACAUAUUGAAGAUAAUACCAUUGAAGUGCCUAGGGUUAGAAAAAAGCUGAUGAAUAAAAAAAACUACCAAAAGUAAGGAGAUUUUAGGUGGUAAAACAGGAUACCUUCUUCCAUGUAGUGAAUGAUAUAUUGACAUAAAAGAAAUAUGGCAAAUCAGCCUUUCCUAUUAAUACUGAACAAAAAAACCCCCAUGUAUUUAGCCAGGAUAUGACUGGAUGGCAGGAACUUGGUAUGAUAUAUAAGGAGAUUUUACAUUAAACUGUAUUAGUAACACCCUUAGCAAUAUUACUUUGACUACUUGGAGUACAAAGAUUGAUACUGCUGUUUUUUUAAAAUCUUGUUUAAUGUAACUGUGUGUUUUCACCCAGAGAUAUGCCUAACUCUGCUAGUACUUUUGGCCUUAAUUAUUCUUUGCAGUAAAUAUAGACAACUGGUGACUUUGGAACAUCUGUCCAAAUUUUGUCUUGUCAGGUAUUUCUAAUAAUGUCAACUUUUUUUUUUUAACUUGAUGGUCUCCAGUUUUACAUAUACUGUAGUAUGGUAAGUAGACCUACAGAAGCAGAGAUCCUUGAUUAUAAAUUUAAGGCCAGAAAAAAGCAGUAUUUACUUACCCUUAUGUCUUGUGUUACAUAGGCCAAGUAAUUUUACUACCAAGCUCUGGGAAAGAACCAGAUUCCUUAAUACUCUCAAUCUGAUGUACAGAUAUCAGGCUGAUCCUUAUAAUAUGAAAGUUCAGAAAUCAAGCAUUCAGAAAUUAUACUUAAAAUUUCAGCCUGGUGCAUUUACUGGUCUUGUUGUGGCUACACAGUAUGAUACAGCCCUGUAGCUGCAUGCUCGUGUCUUGCACCUCUUAAGUGGAAGGGAUUUUCUGUGAGCCAUGCUUGACUUCGAGAGCAAAGGACUUACAAGUCAUUAUACUUGUGUUUCAGUCGUGUUUCAAAGUGCAGAAUAGGUACUGAAGGCACAGAACUACAGGAAGAAAAAGGAAAGUAAAGUUAGUUUGUACUUCAAGUUAUGUGUACUGAAACAUUAUCUCUUGUUUCUGUGUUUAUUUUUAAAUAUUCAAGCUUUCUAACUUGAAGAAAAUAAUGGCAUUGAAUGUAACAUCAAAAAAAAAUUACUAAAAGUAAUUUUUUUUCACAGAAAAAGCUAUUAAAUAUUUAAUGAAAUAAAAGUGAUGGAUCGAUACUGUAGCAUUGUCAUGUCUAAUGGAACAUACACUGAAGAGAAUACCUGAAGAGAAUGUUACACCUAGAAGCCUGACUACUCUUAUCCAAAGACUUCUUCAAGGGAGGUCCCACACAGGUUUUCUAUCUGUGAAACUCAGGGAUAGGUUGCGUAUCUCCCAGAGUGAGCACACCGUAAAUCUGUUUAAGUCCUUAAACUUGAUUCUACUUUAAAAUAUAAGUCAGCUGCUUAAUCUGUAAUGUUUUUCUGCAGAAUAAACUGUAGAGAUUACAUGUACAGUUUCAAUUAAGUUUCUUCCAUGCGAGCUAUCAUAGUAAAUUAAAGAAUUAGAAUCCCAAGUGAACGUGUCCCUGAACAACCUGCUCUGAUUGACCCUGCUUUGAAGCAUGGGUGAAAUUAAAAAUAUUCAGUUGUUCAUGCCAACUUGAACUUCUCUUCCUCUGAUCCUGUGAAAUGCUGAUAGUUCCCUGAAUUAACAGAUGAAGCUGGUAGUCAUUGCUUUCAAGUUCACAUAUUCAAGUAGGCUGUUGAUAAACUCUAGAAUGUCUGCUGUGUUUAAGGGUUUGGUAGUUUUUGGGUGUGUCUUUUUUGCGGGGUUUUUCUUGUUUUGUUUUGUGUGGUUUUUUGUGGGUUUUUUUGUUUUUGUUUUUUUUUUUUUUUUGUUUUGUUAUGCUUAAGGCAUUUUGAUUUCUCCCAGUUAUGAGCCUAGCACACAGCUUUUUGGUAGAAUUCUAUUGCAACUCCAGUGUCACCAGUGCAAGUUAUGUGCUACAUGUACACACACACACAUAUUAAAAAUAAAUGAACCAACUCUUUAAGUUGUUUUGUAUUGUCCUAAUUAAUUUUUCUUUGUAAAGAGUAAGAAAGUAGACUUUUGGAUUCUGUCCAAUAUUUUCUUCUUGUAGACCUGAAUAUUGAGUUUCUUCUUUGUCUGUGUAUUUCUUGUGACAAUUCUGUGUUUAGUAGUUUAAUGUAAGCAGUUGCUUAAGUGGGCGCCUUAAUUUGUUUAUUCUGCUUCAUUUUCAUAUUCCUCAAUUUUUUAGGAAAAAUAUUUUCUACUUAAAUAUAAUAUUCACAAACUACAAUGCAAAUUAUUUUAAAAAAUAAAACACAAUAUGAUCUACAUAGAGGCAUAUAUUCCUGUUAGUAAUGUUGCUUAUACAUGUAUAUGUGUGUAUCUGUGUACCUCAUAACAAAACUGUCUAAUUUGUUGUAUUUUACUGUGGCAUUAAGUAAACAGUUUGAAAGAAAAGCUUAUUUGUUUAAGUGUAAUGAAUAUGUGUAUGGACUUUGGUAUGUAGUUCUGAAACAGGAUUUAUAUGGUUUCAGUAGACUUCUGGAAAAUAACUGGCUUGGUAUCUUAUGAGCAGGUAGAUAAGAGCAAUUUCUUGGUUUUGUGUGCAUGUACAUAGUACAUGCAUGUACUUUACAUGCAGUAGUUUACUGUUUAGUAAACCAGUAGUAUCCAUUGGCCACUUUAGACCCAGUCUCUAUAGUGAAAACCAAAACCAAGUGUAAUGUUAAAAAAAUGAUAUUUUAUUCCAAAAAUGUGUUGCUUAUUUAUAAUGUAAGUACUUCAGUGCUUUAGUGAAGGUUUCUUUCUUGAUGUUGGCCAUAAUAUACAGUGGAAUUCUUUGUAUUUGCCUUUUAUGUGUGAGAGCUGUGUGAAAAGUGCUUGUCCACAUUCAGAUGUCUGUAAAUAUUCCAGGACUAGUCUUAAUAUUUCUGUAUAAGUAGGAAAGCUGCAGUGAGGCUAAGGAUGUGUACAGUGGGAGGACAGGUAUUGAAAAGCACUUUGCCUCUGUACCUGCUUUAAAAUCUGAACUGAACUCCAGCUAUGACAUUAAUAUCAGCCAAAGCUAUUUAAACAGUAAAUCUGCAUGCAGAUAUGCAUCCAAAUGGAAAGGUCAGUAUUGUUUCUUCCUCCUCCUUUGCUGUAAAGCAAAACAAAUAAGGUCCAGUCUCUCAUUCUCUGUGUUGAAAACUUAAAGAUGACUUAGUAUAAAGGGACCUGGGGUAAAAAGCCAAAGGAGUUUUGACAAUAUGGGAGUCUCUUCAACAGGAUAUUAUGAUAUAUUAUGAUUAAGUUGAAACAUGUUGUUUGCCACUUCUAGAGGAGGUACACAGCUGGGGUCUGGAAGGUACAAGAGAACUCAAGUUUGCAAAUGAGUGCUGCAUUUGAUCCUGAUGUAGCUGCAAGCAGUACUUUCAAGCCAGAAAGAACGUGGAAAUACAUGUUUUCCUUUACUGAAUAGAUUUUGUCAUAAAAAGGCAAUCAAAACCCAAAAUAAAAAAAAAUCAAAAUGUAUUGAGUAGAGAUUUGAAAUAAAGACAUAGUUUUCAUUGUAGAACAGUUCUCCUCGUAGUUUGGGUCUUUUGAUUAGGUAUUUAUCCUACUUAAGUAUAGUAUAUUAUAUAGUAGUAUAUAGUUCUUACAAUAAAAAAAGAUUUCUAUGUAUUUCAUAAUCUCAUAGAAUAGUUUAGGUUCAGAGACCUUUUGAAGGUUUUCAGGCUGAAGCUCCUGCCAUGAGCAGGGAUGUCUUCAACUAGACCAGGUUGCUCAGAGUCCCAUCCAACCUGGCUUUAAAUGUUUUCAGACAGAACAUCUGACUCUUCUCUGGGCCACCUGUUCCAGUGCCUCACUGCCCUCAUGGAAAAACAUUUCUUCCUUGUAUCUAGUCUGUAUAUGUAUUCUUAACAGUUUAAAACCAUUAACCCUUGUCUUAUCACUAUGGACAUGUUUGGUGUGCUUCUGUUGUUUUAUAGGUCAUUUUAUUAUUAUCUAAGCAUGUCAGAUAUCAUAAAAAAACAUCACACAUGAAAUACUUUUUUAGAAAAAAAUUUUGGGCUGUAAUGGUCUUGACAAUGUUGUUUGUGGCUGAAAAUAAGGCUUGUCAAUGUUGGCACACUGUAUCAACUCGGAAAUUGGCAGGAUAUUCAUAGGCUCAGCUCCAGUAUUCAGUUUACACUGUAGAAGAAGAGCUGACUUGGCUAUAUUCUAGGGCUUGACAGGCAAAAAAUAGAUCUGUAGUGGUUGGUGUGUUUUGGGGUUUUUUGUUUGUUUGUUUGUUUUUUAUUUUAGCUAUACGUAGAGGGUGAAGAUUUGAUUUUUUAGGUUGUGAUCCUCAUUUAUGUGCUACAGGUAUUUUUUAAAUCCCAGACUUGGAAAUCCGUUGUAAUACUGGGUAUCUGGUGCAUUACAAUAAGAAAACAUGGGCUUGAUUUUGCCUAUUGUCUCUCAAGAAAUGUUUAGAAUGUCCUUGAAAAGUGUUUGCAUGAGAGGAGGAUGGGAAAAUGAUCUUAAACUGUGAAGACUAAGACAGGUUUUGUUGCUGUUUUCAAUUGCCCUUUGUGGUAGUUUAGAGAAGGUAGAGCCAGGCUGUUCUCCUUACUGAUAGGCAGGGAUGGGAUUUAGAGGUGAAGGACAUGUUACAACAUGAAAACCCUGAUUAAGUGAAAUAAAAACAAUUUCUUGUGUGAGUAGACAGUGUAAUGGGUGUACCCAGACCAGGGGUUGGAAUCUCUGUUCCUAGAGAUACUUAAAGUUUGACUGGGCAUGACUGUGCAAACUUUUGGAAUUGGACAUGCUUUAAGCAGUGCUUAAGACUAGAGGACUUCCAGAGGUUGUUUACAAGCUAGAUUUAUUUUAUGAUUAUAUGGAAAAUUAAUAUUAAAUAAGAGACUUUGCUAUAUUUAAGGAACACUAGGGAGUUUUUAAGACCUUGUUCACAAAAUAGUUUGUGAUAGUAUUUUGUGUAAUUUGUGAAUGUAAACUACAAGCUUUAAGAAUUAGAUUUGGUACUGUUUUGUUGAGGAGCUUACAAGAUGUUCACUUGUUUCCUAAGUCAGAAUAUGCAACUAUCCAUUAUUUGCUAGCAUAUUUAAUCAGCAGGUAGAGGAAAUACUUGAGGGAGAAUGAUACAAUAAAUAAGUAAUUUUCUUUUCAGAUGUAACACAAAUGAUACAUAAUUACAGAAGUUGAACUGCAGAAUAUGUUGGAGAAAAAUUAUGUGUCUUUAUGUGUACCUUACCACAAACACAUAGAUCUGUGCACUAGUUUACAAAUCUAGAAAUUGUUGCUAAGUGCCACUACCAGACUAUGAAAAUUGCUUUCUAGUCUGGUUAAAAAGAAUAUAGAAUGGAGGAUAGACAAAUUUUUUGUAUCUUACAAAGGUACUCUCCUUUUCUGUGGUGGUUGUCUUACUGUCUCCCUUUAUCUCUGUGCACAGUGGUUUCGAUGUAGUAAUUUCCCUAUCUCAUAGGAGUAAAUAAAUCUGUUCUUGUGUUGAUCAUAAUAGCAAAGAGUAGACGAAUUCUACCUCCUUUCUUUUAUCGGUAGGAUUUUGUUAGAAUUACUCGGCAGGGCAGCUUAGAGACAUAUUUCUCCUCUGAGCCUUUAAAUGUUUUAGCACUGAUGCUGCUGAGGCAGCUCUUUAUUUUUUUAAAUAGUUUUAAAUUUCACUUCAUAGUGAGAAGACCAGGUGCUGGAGGAAAACACAAUCUCAGGCCAGUUAGGCUGGUGCAGUGCUAUCCACUUUUGGAUCUAACAGUGUUGUUGGAGCAUCUCUCCUAAAAUCUGAGAGAGAUGCUCUAGUAGAGGAUUUAGGACAAAAUGUAAUUUGUUCAAAGGUACUAUAGUUUUCCUGCAGUAUUUCAAAGUCCACAGAGAAAGCUGGACUCUGAAUGCGGAGGCUUGGCAAAAGGAUUCAGAUCCAAACUGACCUCACAGUACAAAGCAGAUGGGUUCUCUCAAAUAUUUAAGAGGGAAGAUUGUUGUUUUCAUGCAUUUGGUCAUAGCUGUUGGCCUGGAAAACAUUUUGCUUUUUCGCUUCUAUCAUCAAAGCAAACUACACCUGAUCCUGACAAAAAUGACUAGUUGAGGAUGGGAACUCAAUCUGUCUUUAAAGUAUCUCUGAGAAGAAAUGAACUGAAAUGUUAAUGUACUCAAGUGCCCUUUUCAGGCCAUUGUUUUUCUUUUCAGCAGAAGGAAGGUGGUACAUAUAGGCCGUUGGAAAUAAAGAAAGAUAGUCUUCAGCUAUGAUUGCAGUUCAUAUAUAAAGUCUGUUAUUACUGUGCAUUUCCAUAGACUGAAAAGGGAGUUGGCAUCUGGUCUUAAAUGUUAGCUGUAGUUGUUUUUAUUUUUGAAUUCGCUGCAAAGAUUUGGUAUGUUGCUUUAUUUUUGUAUCUAGCACAUUGACAGCCAUGACAUUCUGCUGCUGCUUGUUUGUCACUGUAACUAAGACAACUCGACAUGCAGAGUUUGCAGGUAAACACACAGUAAGGGCACUAAUGAUUUGAUCCCUGGUCUUGGUAUGUAACUUUUUUAUUGCAAAACUUAAAUGAGAGUGAAAGGCAAUGGUAAGUGCAGUAUUUUAGAGAUUAGUUUUAUGAUAGAUCAGGAUUUUCUAAAUUGUCAUUAACACUGUGUCUGUUGCAUUGAGUUGUCAUUCUAUAUACGUAUAACUGUUUUUACUACCAAAGUGCUUCUGGUUUUAGUUGCUGUACCCUUGAUAGCUGCAAAACCUGUGCUCUUUACACAACAAAUUGGAAUCAAAUAUUAGCGUCAACAUUUCAAGGAAAUUUCAGCCAAAGAGGACGUGCAGACAGAAAGUCUGAUCCUCAUUCCACUUAUAUAGUGUACUUCUUUCAGAAUCAGCAUGGAAUUAAAUUAACAGAAUAGUUAUCCAUAAAGUUUUCUUUGUACUCUCGUUUCCCUAUUUGGAAAUGGGAGGUCUCAGCUGCUUUUUACCAGAUCAGUCUCCUCUGUGCCAAGCUUCACUUGGGCAGGGAAUCUACUGGCAGACUCAUAUAGUGCCUUGCUGAAUUUGACAUGCCAUAUUUAAUAAACUGUAUUUGGAAAAAUACUUCAUUUUUAUAGCAGCAUCACUGUAAUAUGGAAAGAAGAGAAUGUGCGUGAUUAGUGAUAGAAGCAUUAUUUAGUGUUGCUCUUUUAAUAAGGCAGGUUAUGCUACUUGGUAUUUCUUCAUGAAGUGAGCUCUGAAUACAGAUUCUCUGGCUUACACAAACAGUAAUGGCAAGUAAUUCCACCCUCUUUCAGCUACUAAAAGAUCAGUAAUUAUUUUUAGUGUUUGAGUUUAGGAUAGUAUGAAAAAUUCAACAAUAGGUAGGCUGGAUAUGCUCAACAAAUCAUUGUAAUUAGUUGUAUGUCAAAGUCUCUUUUCUGCAUACUUUAAGUGUGACUUUUUUUUUUUUUUUCCUUAUAGUGAUUAAAAUAAUGGUGAAACUUGGCCCCAAGGUGAGAAAAAUAUUUAGAAAAGCCUUAAUGGGCUUAUGUGGAUUUUGGGUCAAGUCUGUGGGGAAAUGUUCCUGAAAUCUAGGCUUAGAAACUUGAUAUAGUAAAAUGGAAAAUGAGGUGAGAUGAUUUUCACUAGGUUUGUUUUUUUUUGAUAGCAUACGGCUAUGAGGAUUCUUACAGGAAUGUAGAUUGGGGUUUAGAGCUACUAUAAAAAGAACAUUUAAUUUGAUCUUCUAUCAUUUUAGCUCAGUUUAGGCUUUUAACAAAGAUAAGUCUCAUUAAAGUACUACAGAAAAUUGCUGAACCAAAAAGACAAUAGCUUUUUGUGCGAAGGAAUAGAGAGUUCUGUAUUUUGUCAUCCUUAGUAUAGAGCAGCGCAGGGCUUAACUCAGAAACUAAGAGUGAAAGAAGAAUUAGGAGGAGGCUGAAGUUCACAAAUUGCCUUCUGUUUGGAAAGAUCCCAAAAUAAAUUGCACUGUAUGUUGUACAAAUGAUUAACAUUUGGCAACAUUGAAAUUAAUCUCAUUUUGGGGCAGGAUACAGCAGGUUUUUAGUGCUCAGCAAUAAAAUUCUAUUUUAAGACAAAUUGAAGACUCUCACUAUUUUUGAAGCACAGGGAAAACUCAAGAAUGCAGAAUGCAAUUUCCUAAUUGAAUACCAAAAGGGCUCAUCUUCCUUUUCAGGGGUAUGUGUGCAUGUGCAUGUGUGCAGAGUUGUGUCAGUUGUAAUUGCUGCUGCUAAGAAUUUAGCCCAAGUAAAAUAGUCAAGUCUUUGGUGUUAAGUCCCUCAGAAGUAAAAAUGCUUCUGACAGCAUAGUCCUUUCUAAUACACUGCUCCUCUGUGAGUUCAGCGUGGACUUGGUGUGUCAUGUACUGAAGCAUCAGCAGGGUUUCCUGCAGCCAGUGGGAUUACCCUUUGUCACUCAUCCUGGCAAGGUCUGAAUCUGCUAGGUUUGAGAUUAAAGUCCAUAAUAACCUGACAUUAAGACCUGAGAGACUGAGAUAACAGAAUGUUCUUGUAGAUGGGAAAGGAGGAAGAUGCUAGGGGUGCAGUAAGGUUGUGGAAGUAGCAUGAUGUAAUUUCUUUGACUGUUAAGUAGUAAUUUGUCUUGGUCAUAGUAUUUUAUUGUAAUAGUUCACAGAUAUUUGGUAUUGGCAGUUUGCAGUUAUGGUCCAAACAUUGUGAUAAACAUGGCUUUCUAAUUUUGCUGUGUGUAAACUAGUCCUUUAGUCAAAUCAGUGAAAGCGAGUUAGCAUUCAAACAUUUACCUUGUCUAAAAAUAUUUCUGCUGAUGUCCUUGAGAUCUGGAGAAGCCCUAAAUACUUAAAUAAGUAAAAUGUAACUUUUAGAGAAAAAAGUGACAAAUUUUAGGAAGAUAGUCAAAUGAUAGCAACUAAGAGUAAAGAGUAGGCGAUUAGUUAAUUUAAUUUGGAGACGAUGAUAGAGUCCAUUAGAGCACAUUGUAAGAUGCUGCUGCAACAGGGAUACCAGCCGAUAGAUUUUUUUUUUUCUUUCAAAAGUUUCUAGUCUUAAAUUUAGGGUAAUUUUUCCUUCAUCAGUUCCCAGCACAGGUAAUGAGACUUUGUUUGCUUGUGCUUGGUCUUUGCUGACAUCUCUUAUGUAGAGCUUUGUCCUGUCCUGUUUCAUGUUCAGGAUGUCUGCCAUCAGAGGAUCUUACACCAAUGCUCUGGAAACCAUUUAGGAAUGGCUUGCUUCUUGAUCCUUGCUUUGCUCUUCAAUAAGGGAUGCAUUGCAGGGCAUCUUACAGCACCACAUGCUGAAGUUGAUUGGAGGUUUUCCUAUAAAGCAGGAACUUCAUAAUAUAGUGCAUUUGACAACAUAUUUCAGAAUAAUGCAUCUCUAAGAUCUACAAGAAAUGGGUCAAUUACUUUGAGAUAAAUCUAGAUUGCAUGUGAGAAUAAUUCCUUCAAGAAAUUCAGCCCUGGGUGAUAUACUUCUUUAUUAUCCUGUGUGAAUUAAUUAAAAGAAUAAUGGCAGUAUUUCUAAACUUCCAUUUGUGCUUAAAAUCCUGUAGAUUCCUUUACUGAUCUUUUGAAUACUUUUAUUUAUUUCUUAGGCUUCAUCAGUAAAAAUUACUGCUUUAGGAUCUGAAAAAUAAUAUUGUCUUAUGGAGCCCUGCAUAUUGAAUUGUUCUUUUUCUGAGUAGCUGCUAUUGCUCACAAUGAGAAUGAAGCCAGUCUUUGCUCUUAACGAAAAUGAAUAAUGAUUUUGUUUUCUUUAGAAAAUAAAUGGAAGAUUGGAGGAGAAUCAUUCUUCAGUGAUUUCCCUGAGGAAGACUAUUCUGAUGUAGCAGAUUUGACAGAUAGCAUUUAGUGAUUAAAAACAGCCAUGAAAACACACGGCGCUGAAGUGUGGUUUUGUACAUAUUGUCACCUCUGCUCAAUAAUGAUGUUAAGGAUGCCGUUAAGGGUAGUAUCUCUGUGUAUAUUUAGGAGAAAGAGAAACCUUCAGUUUCUUUUUCCUGGCUUGCUGAGCUAAGAUGUGUGUAAAUAAGGAGAUGAUGCCUGGUACAUUUUCAAUGCCUAAGAGAAGAGCACUGUAGGACCUGACUUAGAGAAACUUCUUUAGGGCUAUUUCCAAACAUUUGGUCUAAAAUUAGGGCUAGAUCAGCUUCUCUGGAAAACAAAGGAUUGGGAGGGUAAAAUAAAUGUGUCACAUAUACAGAUUUCUUGCUACAUGUGGGAGUAUUAAUAGGGGAAGCUGCACCAGUCUGAACCCUUUUUGCUACUGCUGCCCUGCAGUUAGGAAGCCUCCAGCUGCAGUUUGAAAGACCGAGGAAGGCCACUGUUUCUCAGCUAUUUUAUGGGCUCUGUAGAUGCACAGUAAGUAGGGUGUUUUGACUCAUGUUUCUCUGUAACAUAUCCUGAUUUUCUUGGUAUUUUUAAUACAUGUUAAUGAAUGAAUAUAAAGAGUAUCUUAGGUAGUAUUUACUUCAUGGGGGAGUUUCUUACAUGUUUUUCACCACACGUGGUUAAGAUAUCAAAAGAGCCUUAACUCUCCAUAACACAGGCAUAGUGGCUGGAGUUAGGAAACAAAACAUCUGUGAUUUCUUUCAAAUUAUUUUACUUCUAUUUGGGAUUCCUAAACUUCUCUGUCAGUAGGAUUUAGCCUAAACUUCUUAUCUUGUUUAUCCACCUGGUAUCACGAUACAUCAUGUAUUUUACUUGAAACUUUGCAACUCUCUUGCCUUAACUUAGCAUAGCUUUUGUCAAGGGAGGAAAUAAUUGGAAUGUGCAGUGUUGUCAACAUUUUUGCUACUUAGUAUUUGCAGAUACAGUAAUAAAAAUGUCACAAGACAGGUGUUUCUUAAGGAAUGAGGAAAAACACCUAAUCAUGGAUGUGCUAGAACUGGUGUUUGAAAAAUUGGAACAUUAGAAAGCUUCUUGAGACAGCAGCCUCUCUUGAUUUGUCUGAGAAAUAUUGUAGUGUUAUAUUAAUCUCUACUAAUAGAAACAGAGCUUUUCUUGGAAAGGAAUUAUCUGAUGAGGGGAAAGUCAGAAUAGGUAGAGUAGUAUAACAAUAUUGUAAAUUUUAGACUUAAAUUUCACUUUAAAUAUAGGUUGAAUGAGCACAAAUCUUAUCAUUUUUUUACUAAAACUGGCGUGUUUUUUAAAAUAAGUUGUAGUUGUGAAGUACAUUCUUAAGGAGAUAUGUACUUCACAACUACAGGAAUUUAGGCUACUAAAGCCUAAAUUUCUUCUUAAGCACAUGGGACAUUUGGCUUGCAAAUAUUUUUCUAAGAAAUGAACCCUGACUUGGUUCUGUUUAAACAAACAGACUAAGAUAUGCCAGUGAAAUCCCUUUAAUCUCAGAGUAACUAUUUCUUUUCAGUGAGACAGCUGAUCUUUUCCAAAUGUAUCUAAUUGUUAAGCCUGAUUCAAAAAUAUAUUGCUUGCUGAAAUUUGUAUUUUCCCAAAUCACUGUAAAAUACCAUUACUGUACUAAAUCACCUAUUACUCUGAAAUCUGUAUGUGCUUCUUGUGUCUUGUUCUUCAGUUUGCUAAGUUUGUGAUUUUCUAAUGAUGGCAAGAAGUGUGGGAAUUUCUUUGUAUCCUACCAAUCAAAAGGGAUGAGUGAGUUACUUAGAGUAUAGUUCUCUUUUUCUUACCAUCCUUAUUUUCUCUUUUCUGUAUACUUCUUCUCUUAUUGAUGAUAAACUCAUGACAUCUUAUUUAAAUUCUUUAAUUGUAGAUAGGAAUUAUUUUCUUAGUAUCUGUGUAGCACUCUUGAACUGAGACCAGCAAUUUUAACUACUUCCCUCUGUUAAGCUGCCUACACGUUAUAUACUUGUGGUUUUCCAUUUUCAGUUGACACAUCUGUUCUUAUUUGCUUUGUAAUGACAAUAACAGUGUAAUUACUCCCUCAUAACAUUUUGAAUUCCUUAAUUUCUUCAGUUUUGGACUGUUUUCACACUAGGGUGUUCUUUGUCUCCAUGGCAGUGAGGGGUAGACUAGAACAUUGUCCUGAGUCUUAGUGUGAGAGACUUUUUUUCUCCUCUGCUGGGAGAAACAUAGCAAAAUUCUGUCCAUGCAUCUGGCAUGAUAUAGUGGAUCUCAUUAUUGUCUUUGUAAUUAAUUUUCUCCAGGUUGGAAAACAAUCAAACAAAAGCAAUGUCAUCAAAAGUAUAGUAUCUGUAUUUGUAAGUGAUUCUAGGAUAUGCUAAAAAGACAUAAAUUUUCACCUUCCUGAAUAAAAAUUGUUGACUUGCACUUUUUUCCUCCUCUUGCUGAGGUUAGAUACGGUUGAAAAAAUGUUUUCCAAAAACUGUGUAAGAGCCAAGGCCUUUUCAAGCCCUUUUAGACAUUUAACAGACCUUUAAAACCUAGACUGCUACUGACACUGUGCCCUCCCUGUGUCCUUCACAUCUUACAGGGCUUCUGUCCUGAAUAUGACGAGUUUUUAUUGCUGCAUUGUAAAAAAAAAAAAAAAAAAAAAAAAAA